AUUGAACGCUGGCGGCAGGCCUAACACAUGCAAGUCGAGCGGAGCGGCGGACGGGUGAGUAAUGCCUAGGAAUCUGCCUGGUGGUGGGGUAUAACGUCCGGAAAUGGGCGCUAAUACCGCAUACUAUCAGAUGAGCCUAGGUCGGCUUCGCUAGUUGGAGGGGUAAAGGCUUACCAAGUCAACGCUCCGUAACUGGUCUGAGAGGUUGAUCCGUCACACUGGAACUGAGAAACGGUCCAGACUCCUACGGGAGGCAGCAGUGGGGAAUAUUGGACAAUGGGCGAAAGCCUGAUCCAGCCAUGCCGCGUGUGUGAAGAAGGUCUUCGGAUUGUAAAGCACUUUGAGUUGGGAGGCGGUACCAACAGAAUAAGCACCGGCUAACUUCGUGCCAGCAGCCGCGGUAAUUC
rnacentral:rRNA from 1 species